rnacentral:rRNA from 1 species
AUUGAACGCUGGAGGCAAGCCUAACACAUGCAAGUCGAACGAGUGGCGGACGGGUGCGUAAUGUCUGGGAAACUGCCUGAAGGAGGGGGAUAACUACUGGAAACGGUAUCUAAUACCGCAUCCCAUCGGAUGUGCCCAGAUGGGAUUAGAUAGUAGGUGGGGUAAAGGCUCACCUCGGCGACGCUCCCUAGCUGGUCUGAGAGGAUGACGAUCCACACUGGAACUGAGACACGGUCCAGACUCCUACGGGAGGCAGCAGUGGGGAAUAUUGCACAAUGCGCGCAAGCCUGAUGCAGCCAUGCCGCGUGUAUGAAGAAGGCCUUCGGGUUGUAAAGUACUUUCAGCGGUGAGGCGUUACCCGCAGAAGAAGCACCGGCUAACUCCGUGCCAGCAGCCGCGGUAAUAC